rnacentral:rRNA from 1 species
GACGAACGCUGGCGGCGUGCUUAACACAUGCAAGUCGAGCGGUAAGGCCCUUCGGGGUACACGAGCGGCGAACGGGUGAGUAACACGUGGGUGACCUGCCCCCUACUCUGGGAUAAGCCUGGGAAACUGGGUCUAAUACCGGAUAUGACCUGCGAUUGCAUGAUUGUGGGUGGAAAGUUUUUCGGUGGGGGAUGGGCCCGCGGCCUAUCAGCUUGUUGGUGGGGUGAUGGCCUACCAAGGCGACGACGGGUAGCCGGCCUGAGAGGGCGACCGGCCACACUGGGACUGAGACACGGCCCAGACUCCUACGGGAGGCAGCAGUGGGGAAUAUUGCGCAAUGGGCGGAAGCCUGACGCAGCGACGCCGCGUGGGGGAUGACGGCCUUCGGGUUGUAAACCUCUUUCGGCCCCGACGAAGCGGAAGUGACGGUAGGGGUAGAAGAAGCACCGGCCAACUACGUGC